rnacentral:rRNA from 1 species
UAGGAGUUUGAUUAUGGCUCAGGACGAACGCUGGGGGGCGGCUUAACACAUGCAAGUCGUGGGAGAAUCCCGGCUCUUCGGAGCCGGGAGGAGACCCGGCGGAUGGGUGAGUAACGCGUAGGCAAUCUGCCUGUAGCAAGAGGAUAACAUCGCGAAAGCGGUGCUAAUACUGUAUAAUGCAGCGGGGCCGCAUGGCCACAGUUGUUAAAUUCUCCCGAUUAUUCGGGAGGAGGCUACAGAGGAGCCUGCGUACCAUUAGCUUGUUGGUGAGGUAACGGCUCACCAAGGCAGUAAUGGUUAGGGGGUCUGAGAGGAUGAUCCCCCACACUGGGACUGAGACACGGCCCAGACUCCUACGGGAGGCAGCAGUGAGGAAUCUUGCGCAAUGGGGGCAACCCUGACGCAGCCACGCCGCGUGCCGGAAGACGGCCCUAUGGGUUGUAAACGGCUUUUACCAGAGAAGAACCCGGAAGUUUCGACUUCCGCUGACGGUACCUGGCGAAUCAGCACCGGCUAACUCCGUGCCAGCAGCCGCGGUAAUACGGAGGGUGCAAGCGUUGUCCGGAAUUAUUGGGUGUAAAGGGUGCGCAGGCGGAAGCCUAAGUCGAGGGUGAAAGACAACCGCUUAACGGUUGCAGUGCCUUCGAUACUGGGUUUCUUGAGUUCAGAAGAGGUUGGUGGAAUUCGUGGUGUAGCGGUGAAAUGCAUAGAGAUCACGAAGAACACCGGUGGCGAAGGCGGCCAACUGGUCUGUAACUGACGCUGAGGCACGAGAGCGUGGGGAGCGAACAGGAUUAGAUACCCUGGUAGUCCAUGCUGUAAACGAUGUAUGCUAGAUGUCGGCCCUUUGGGGUCGGUGUCGUAGUUAACGCGCUAAGCAUACCACCUGGGGAGUACGUUCGCAAGAAUGAAACUCAAAUGAAUUGACGGGG